rnacentral:tRNA from 2 species
UGGGCUAUAGCCAAGCGGUAAGGCAACGGACUUUGACUCCGUGAUUCGUUGGUUCGAAUCCAGCUAGCCCAGUCA